AGUAAACGGAGAUUACAAGAGAUUAUGAUGUUUCCUUUCAGAAUGGGGCCUAUUAAACCCUCUUCAAGGACCUGAAACUUCCUGGUAAGGUGGAGCCUUGUUCCUAAAAGUUACAAAGACUUCAAGGACCUCCUGUGUCUCUGUUGAAACCAAGCUUUUGUUUUGGGGAGACUUUUUCUGUCUGGAAGGUUCUGAAUGUAGAAAGGAGCCCAAGAUGUUAAGGCAGAAAGCUGGAAGACCUAACUGGCAUCCUUGGUACUGCAGAACAGUUCAACCACUGCCAUUAAGGUGCCUUUGGAGAGCUGAGGGCUCCCCACUCCCCCUAUACCCUCUAAACAUACACUAAAAGCAUCCAGAAGUGGGAAGAUGUCCCAGAAUUCCUCAGAUUUCUUCUCUGGGGAACAUUCUUGCUGCUCUUGGAUGAAGGAACUCAAACAUUUUCACCAUUUUGCAAGAGUGACACAUCAGUCCUAAGAUCCCCCACCCCACUCCUCCAGCUAAGCGAGGAGCAGUAACUGCCGUGAAUCUGGUGGUUUAAUGUCGUUGUGUUCAGAAACCCAGGCCCAACAACAUGAAACUACCUAAUUCACUCAGCAGUCUCAAUUCAAGCUCCAGGUCAAGGGCUCACUGGGGCAGGUCCCUGUGGCCAUCCUGUGGGCCAAAAUGGCCACUUAACUUACUUUCUUCUACUUAUUUUCCUCCAUUUCUUCUCACAGAAUCCAGUUGCUAGUAAGCAAUGUAUCUAAGGUACUGGAUCCAGAAUUUCAGAUGAAAGGGUCCUGGAGCUGGUCCUGGCAGCUCAGAUUCCAGGAACUUCUCUCUUCCAGGAGCACCGGCAAGAGAAGACCCUGGGCCAAGCUCCAGGCCUAGGAAUGGCCCUUUGAUAUACCUGCUUGGUGUCUGCCUCCUCAGCCUGUCUCUGCAGCUGGAAGUCUUCACAGAUGAAAAGGAUUCUCAACUUCCAACCGUUAUGAAGGUGUGUCUACACUCACCAUCUGGCUAGACCCUAUAUUCCAGGGUCACCUAGCCUCCCAGGACAGCUCUGAGGACCCAAAUCUUCUACAACCACCCUCAGUUUUGAGACUGGGGUGUGCACAGACAGGAGAAGGGGCCAAGAAGAGCAAGAAAGAAAGUGACAGGGACAAAGUGCAAGAAAGAAAGUGACCGAGCAUCAGAGCAUCAGUAUCAAGAAUUCUAGAUAGCAACAGAGGAAGAAUGUGAUUUGGAGGGAGCAGCCAACUGUCAGGAAUAAUCUCUAUGAAGUCACCCUGCUGAAAUGGUCCAAGGCCCAGGCUCCAGAGACUCUGAGCUGCCCCAGGCCAUUUCUGGCGGCGGCUUGGGAAGCAGCUCUGUUGUGGCGGGCGAGUGAGGCCGAGGCCGCGACCGACCUCUAGGCGGCGCCCUGGCGUUGAGUCCUCCAGGCACAAAUCCUCCGGCAGCUCUGUGUUCGGUGCUGGGUGAAAGGGCCAGUUUCUGCCGACGCACUGGGCUUGGCCUGGAGUUGGCCGCCGGCGCGUCGCCUUUGGCGCCCUCUGCCAAGCAAGAGAAACAAGAUUAAAAGAGUGCGGGCUGGAAAAGGAAUCACAACUAAUCAAGGACCCAACCCGCCCCUACCCACCCACCCCCCAGCCCCAGCCCCGACGCUAGGGAGCCUUCCAGAGCCUGAAUCUUCUUUGAUCUCCCCUGCAGCCGGCUGGAGGGCAGCGCCAGCGACUUUAACUCCCUCCCUCAACUUGCAGAAGACGACACUGGGGUUCGAAGAAGUUAAGUGUUUAGCCCAAGAUCAGAGCAGCUUUUAAUAAAGUGGUGAAGCAGAGGAUGUGACCUCCACUUCAAAUGGAAUUUUCUUCCUCCAAAUUAUGACAACCAGCCACCCCAACAAACUUGUUUUUCUUAUAAUUCAUUUCUGGAAAGACAGCCUUUGGGGGUUGUCUUUGUUGGAAGUGUGGGGGCUUGGGGGGGGCAUAUUGUGGACACUGCAUAAGAAAAGUGGAGGCCGAUACAGGGGCAGCUCAGCCAGGACCAUGACAAAUCCAGUCCCCUCCCUUCCAGGAAAUGGCCGGUUUAUAACUUUCCUAACUGUGUGAUACUGGACGAGUGUUUUCAGCCUUUCAAAAGCCCUAAUGAAAAGUACCUAUUGGACAGGGAUAUUGUGAGCUUUGAAUAAGAGGUCCUGAUCAUUAAAAUAAAAUGUUAGCUAUAGGACUGCUUCAUAAACUCAAAAAAAAAAAAAAAACCAGGGACAAUUAGGGUUGGUGGCAGGUCACUAUUCUUCUUGGCCUAAAUGAGACCUCUGUUAAGUCCUAGGUGGAGCAAAAAAAGAGAGCCCUUCCCUGGGACUCAACAACUCUGGGUCUGUGCUCAGAGACAUCCAGGACCUGGGAAACACUGCAUGGGAGAAAUCAAGGUCCCCUGGAUCCCUUCACCCAAGGCAGAGGCGACAUUUUACAUGGCGGAGCCCUAAAGCUCUCUGCUUAAAUUAUUCCUAGGGGAGAGGAGCCAGGGAAUCCCCAGUUGGGGAGGAAAAGGAGAGAGGCCUAGCGGGACGCUGGGGCGGGGCAGCAAAGAGCAUGUCUACUACAGGCCAACUACAGCGAUGGGCUUGCAGGGGUCUUCAGUCCCAGGGGAUGCUCCUUUCCCAGCCGGGCAGCAGUUCUCAUGGACGCCUAAUUACUGCGUGCACAUCUGGAGCAGCUGUGCCCCACCCGGCCUUGGGCCCAUUAUUUCCCUCCAAACCCUAUUUUCAUUCCCAAGGCUGAGUCAUAAAAGACUCUGGAGGCAGAAUAAAGUCGGGUCUGUGUGUGUCAGCAUUCCUGGGUGUGCGUGUGCGCACGACCGCGCGGCGUCUGUGCGUCUCACUGUGAUUGCCCAAUGGAUUCGCAAAAGUUGGGAGGAAAAUGGAGCAACAUCAGGCGAAUUCAACUGCGAACAUACUGUCGGCCUCAUUAUCCGCCCAUUUCAAGGGAAAGCAUUUGGGUCUAGGAAUUAGCCAGUUAAUUGCCUCACUUCUUUGUUCACUUUAGGGCAGGAGAAACUAUUUGCCUUCUAUUAAAACAUUCUAUAUUUCAAAACUUUUAA